AUGCCCUGGAAUACACUUGUGUCAGUGACAAAUGCUGCUUUGCUGUGCUACACCGAGUACAAGGUCGUGUCCAGUGAUUCAAGUUUGACACACCACACCACGGUGGAUGUGCCUUUCAUGACGCAUCUUCUCAGCAGCACUAGAAGAUACAUCCAAAGUCCUGUGAGCAAGGUCUGUGGUAUCUGUUUAUUAUGGCAGCCCAGUGAGACUAAGACAGGCCAUCAAAAGACGUGAACGUUUUGGACCUUCUCUUGGGCCCUAGUAAACAGAAAUCAGGCUACUUAUUAAACUAAACCACGUUCUGAACUGUUACUGCUACUGGAAACCAGUCCCGAUCCAGACCCCAAAAGAGGAUUCUUGGAUCUUGCACAAGAAAGAAAGGAGAGGGACCUGUAGUCAUUACCUUCAAGGAACCUAAAUCCUGGUGUCUUUAUGGUUAUGGGUGGCAUAUAAUAUACAGGCUGUUUGGGCGGCAUUUUGCCAAUAUUAGCCCUAUCCCUACGUGAGUAGGGGAAAGGGAAUUGUGGUUGGACAACCGAGUUCUGAGAAAGGCAGUGAUUGAGCAGCUGAACUCCAUCCAUUUGGUGGGUAAGGACCCCAGAGUAUUCAAAGGAUCAAAUGGAAUGUGACUGAAGAGUUAUCUUGCCGAUCUUACCCAGGAAGACUGUCCCCUAGGCAAGGGGACACCAAACACAAAGAGGCAUGGGAUAAGGAUUUCAAGAUGAGAGUUGGGCAGAACUGGAGUUUAAUCCCCAUGUCAUGGUAAGGCCCUCUGAAAUUCUCUCUAUGCCUUUGAGAGACUCACCAUUUAGAUUCUGACUCCUAGAGUCCCUUAGUGGCCAGUCAACGUAAGUCAAGUUAGUAGCUACAGCCGUCAGGCACACGAUUACACCGUGAACAGUGAAGUAAAAAAAUGUCCUUUCUUUGCUUUCUUCCUCUAAUCACCAUCCCAGAGGCAUGAAAACCUAGAAAAAAGAAAGUAGCUGUAUAGCUUUCAUUUAUGUGUAAGAUUGGUGUUUUGAAAUUUUAAUAACAAAAAAGACUAGAAAGUUGCCUAUCUCCCC
rnacentral:lncRNA from 1 species